CCUACGGGAGGCAGCAGUGGGGAAUUUUGGACAAUGGGCGCAAGCCUGAUCCAGCCAUGCCGCGUGCGGGAAGAAGGCCUUCGGGUUGUAAACCGCUUAUGUCUGGGAAGAUAUAGCUUGGGUUAAUACCCCGGGUUGAGACCUUUACCUAAUGAAUUAGCCCCAAUCCU
rnacentral:rRNA from 1 species